ACGAACGCUGGCGGCGCGCCUAACACAUGCAAGUCGAACGAGAGAGAGGGAGCUUGCUUCCUUGAUCGAGUGGCGAACGGGUGAGUAACGCGUGAGGAACCUGCCUCAAAGAGGGGGGUAACAGUUGGAAACGACUGCUAAUACCGCAUAAGCCCACGACCCGGCAUCGGGAAGAGGGAAAAGGAGCAAUCCGCUUUGAGAUGGCCUCGCGUCCGAUUAGCUAGUUGGUGAGGUAACGGCCCACCAAGGCGACGAUCGGUAGCCGGACUGAGAGGUUGAACGGCCACGUUGGGACUGAGACACGGCCCAGACUCCUACGGGAGGCAGCAGUGGGGAAUAUUGCACAAUGGGGGAAACCCUGAUGCAGCGACGCCGCGUGGAGGAAGAAGGUCUUCGGAUUGUAAACUCCUGUUGUUGAGGAAGAUAAUGACGGUACCCAACAAGGAAGUGACGGCUAACUACGUGCCAGCCGCCGCCGUAA
rnacentral:rRNA from 1 species